ensembl:antisense Rbm46os RNA binding motif protein 46, opposite strand
ACUAAACAAAAGUUACAAAGUGAACUUGCAGUGCUUCCCUUAAGGGAGAUGUAGUUACAAUUCCAGCACACUGGCCCACUCUCUCUCUCUUGGUGGUGUGAGACUUUCUACAACAGAAUGUCUAAAUGCCAUGAAUGCCCCAUCACUGAACCAGGAGCCAUUAUCAAGAGGACUCUAAGGGAAGCCUCCUUCCAAUGAAUAUUUGGAAUGAUGUUUUCAUUUAUUAGGUUGAAGCAGUUGGUGUGCUUUAGAAAAUGAUUAUAGAGCAUUGGGUCUGGCAGCUCUGUAGAAAAACAUGGAAGCAGCUGAAAGUGUUCCUCCCUCUGCUUGUAUGCUUCUGGAAGCCAUCAGAGGCCAUCCGUCAAACCAACCUGGCCUGUCUUCUGUGCUGUCACACAGGGCUGGAGCAUGUGGGCAGAAUUAAUGUGCCAGGUGAGAGGAAAAUAAGUACUGGUAUACAAAGACAAAAGGACUUCCAUCCUGUUUAUUCCAUUAAGUCUUGACAUUUAUUUUUUUAGACAUAUGCCAUG